AACAUAGGGGGCGAGCGUUAUCCGGAAUUAUUGGGCGUAAAGAGUACGUAGGCGGCCUGUUAAGUCUGAUGUAAAAUCCCGCGGCUUAACCGCGGAGGGUCAUUGGAAACUGGCAGGCUUGAGUACGGCAGGGGUAAGUGGAAUUCCAAGUGGAGCGGUGAAAUGCGUAGAUAUUUGGAGGAACACCAGUGGCGAAGGCGGCUUACUGGGCCGGAACUGACGCUGAGGUACGAAAGCGUGGGGAGCAAACGGG
rnacentral:rRNA from 1 species